rnacentral:RNase_P_RNA from 1 species
GUGCGCUGAACAGCCGCGGGCAGUAUCCGAAAGGAACUGUGCGAGGAAAGUCCGGGCUUCACAGAGCAAUAAUAACGGCUAACGGCCGCCGGAGGCGACUCCAGGGAUAGUGCAACAGAAAAUAACCGCCGAUUUAUCGGUAAGGAUGGAAAGGUGAGGUAAGAGCUCACCGGAGGCUUGGAGACAAGCCUGCCGUGUAAACCCUAUUUGAAGCAACACCGUGGUAGGACAAAUUCGCUUGCUCGGCGAGUCCUUAGGAGGUGGCAUCGAGCAGCAGGGGCGACCCUCUGCCAAGAUAGAUGGCUGUUCACGACAGAACCCGGCUUACAGGCGCAGU